GAGGAACUGGAGGAAAAGAGGAAACGAGGCCUGCCUUUGUCAGGAUUCGAGGGGCCAGGCGGCUGCAGGGGCGACAGGUCGGGACAGCGUGCUGCGCGAGCCCCUAACUCACCCGAACCCCGGGCACUCAGCCUGGACCCGGGAUCUUCCCGCCUGCGAGCCUCUACUCUCCACGGCCUAAGGAAGUCGACCAGGGUUUAUACCCUAGAACCUAGGAUCUCUCGGAUGGGCCAACUCGCAGACAGCACGAUGGUGUGAAAGCGAGAGGGAGACAAAAAUAAACAGCGUUCGCGUCAACACCCACCACCCUCACUUCCCCUGGCAGUGGGCUCGCUCGCAGCCUCCCUGUUCCCACCGGUUUAAGUUUUCUUCUGCCAUACUCCCGCCGCUGCCCAAUCCGUAACGGCGACGUCCGGACGAGCUGCCCAUCCCAGAGCUGCGUGCCAGCCGUGCCCGCAAGAAUGUAGACCGGACCGGUCCACACAGCGGCACAACCUCCGGGCAGCUCGGGUCCUGAUAAAGUUUCCCGUGCCCAUUUAUUAACCAGGCGCCGAAUGGCUGCCAAGGAACCCACCUCAAGAGAAGCAGAGAGCGGGAGGAGGCAGCCCAUCUUCUCCUCCCCUCGAUCAUCUUUUCCAUUCAGAUGCGAGUCGUGGGAGCUGAGCUCGGACGCGGGUGAGAUCGCCGUGUUCCCUCCGACCCGAACGCGUGCGCCCCGCCGGUCCCCCACCGGGUGCACACUCGCACGCACAUCCUCGCACCCGUACCCGCACACGAGGGAGCACACGCACAGGUAGUCAGUCACAAACCAAGGGCAGGAGCGGUGGCGGCGGCCGGAACAUGCCCCGAUGGCACUGCACCCCCCCAUCCAACCUUGCAAUUCAUUUGCAGUCAGACCCUAAGCCCCACACCUCCCCGUAGCCCCUCUCCAUGAAAAGUGCCUUCCCCCGAAACACACACGCACACAUAACACAAAGUAGGAGAAAGGACCGACAGAGAUAUUUUUGGCAAAUGCUCACAUCAGAGGGCGUCCUGUUCCGCAGCUCUAAAUAAAUCCGUUUGUCCAUAUCCAUCUCUCGCGCUCUCUCUUUUUCUCUCUCUGCAGAGGACCCUGCGCCAGCGGAAUUCAAUCAAUAAACCCCGAACCCACGGCCGCGCGUUUUAGGACUUUGGAGGCUCAACCAGCUCCGCUCGGUUCUCGAGCCCCCAGCACCCGCGGCGCACACUAACCUGAUCGCCGUGGAGGCGGGACCUGCAGCUCCUGCGUGGAGCGGCGGCAGCACGAGCCAAUCGAGUGACGAGACUCCGGAAGCCAGCCAAUGGUGGUGGCGGCGGCGGGGGGCAGGGUCCAAUGGGCGUCCUGCGCAGCGGGCCAGGGAGGCUCAGCCAUUUGGCUGUGGUGCCGGAGACGGACCCAUUUAGAUACCCGGGCGGCCGAGGAGAAGAGCGGCUGCAGCUUGGUGGUUGCGCGCGGGGGGCGGGAGGGAAGGCAGGGCAGGUGCGUGGACCUGAAGGUUUGUGGCUGGGGGCGGGGCCGCAGCUGCGUGGACACGGGAGGGGCGGGGGCAUCCUCUGGCUGCUUGGCUGUCGGACAAGGCCUGGGGCGCGCGGGCGCAGGGCAGGCCCAGGGAGGGGGCGCAUUCUGGGGGUGCACGAAGGACAGAUAUCACACCACACACCCCGGGGUGCCCACCUGGCACAUCCCUUUAGACCAGGUCUACUCCCAUCCUCGCAAUUCAAUAAUCUAAGUGCAUGAUGCUCCCACCUUCCAAGGAGGGAGGGAGCGAUCUGGACCAAGAGGUUUGGCAUUCUGAUAUCCUGCCUUAAAAGAAGCGAUUCCCCGAGAGCCACCGGGGAUAAUGAUGCAGAACUGUAGAGAAUAGUAAAAAAGAGCUUUAUAGUUUUGUUUUGUUUUGAGAGAGACGGAGAGAGAUUCACGUUUCUUUCUGAUCGUCUACCAAAGUCUUUGGUUGCAUCUGAGUUGCCAAGGAGUCGCUAACUGGGGCAUUUAUUCCAGGUCUUUCAGUUGCUUUGGGGUUUUUUGUUCGACCACGUUGUUUUUAAGAAACCUUAAAAACCAUGGUCACACUGGGCUACCAGCUUUUUCUGGGCAAUCCUAGGACGUCAUGUACUGCGAGGGUGUCUGUGGCGGUGGACAAAUCACGGGGCUGACUGUGAAUAGGGACACGUGUUUAACUUCAGCCACACAACUGGAUCGUAGUGUCUUUCCUCUUGUCUACACUCUUUCGCAAACAGCCCAGUGUAGUUUUAUCUUUUGGAUACAUUGGAACUGAGCAUUUUAUUCAGUAAAUUCUUUUAGAUUAAUCAAUAAAUGAAUUUGAAAGCUGAUAAGUGUUUAUUCUAAGUAGCUGAAAGUACAAAAUAGAAACAUGCUAUCCGGGUAAAUAUGAUGUAAUUUGUUUAAGUUGUUCAUUUAACAUUUUUUAUCCUUAGAUUUUUGUUAAUUUUUUGCGAAGGCUGUGUAACUGGAAAUUUUCAGUUGUAUUGGUUCCUUUUAAAAACACAAAGAACUCCAAAUUACCUCUUUGCCAUUGGUAUUUCUGGAUAUGAUAGUUAACGUUUUUUUAAAGCAAUAGCUUUUCAUCACAAAUAUAUUAAGACGGUAUGGUGUGCAGAAUCUGUUAGCAGGAGUCUUGAAGUUCAUGUUCUUUGGGAUAGAAAAUGCUCUUUUGCUUCUCAAACACUGAACCAUUCUUGAAGUCCCCUGAUAACAGCAAUGUUGUGAGAUAGUCAUUUCCACAGGAAUAACUCUUAAGUCAUUGAAGGAAGGAGGUGCCGAUUUUCCUACCUCUGCUAAAUAGAAGCAAAUAGCUCACAUGACAUGAACAGAGAAAGAAUUCCUUGGGAUCCCAACCACCCCCCAACACCUCCCCUUAAUGGAGAAUAUACAGAAACCAAAAACUAUGAAAAGGCAAGUGUUUUCUUACGAUCCAAAGAAAAACCAGAAUACUGGAGACUCAGAAUAGAAAAACAAAUGGUUACUUCAUUACUGAAUGUAUUAAAUAUAAUUUAUUUUGGAGAGUCUUAACUUUACAAAUUUUGGGUUAACAGUUUUUGCAUUUAGUGUCACAAAACUGAAAGAUGGCUUUCACUGGAUGUCAGUCAGUUUAGAAGCUGAAAUAUAAAAGCACUUUGCCUAUCUCGGACUUGCUAGUACAUGUUCAAGAAAGUUCCUCUUGUAGUUUAUCUAGAAAGUUUUAAUAGGUCUUUGGUUUUUAUGAGGAAACAGUAAGUCAGCUCAGCCAUUUGCCCUGUAAGACUUGGAUAUAUGUACACACAUAUGAAUGUAUAGAAUUAUUUACAGUUAUUAUAUUUUUAUUGUGUUUUAUAGUAGGUACUACUCCAAACUGAUCUGCAUUUCAGUAAGAAAGGAAGAAGCCCCACCUCGAGGAAUCUUGCAGGAAUUUUUAGAGACCGGGAACAUGUGCAGUUCCUCAUUGCAGAUUGACCCUACUGCAGGCGCUAUGUGAAGAGGGAUGGGCCAACUGCCCCAGGGCUCGAUUCUUGCUGAGAAUUAAUGAGAUACAAAUCAAGUGUCGAGCAAGAAAGGCACCUUCAAGACAUCACCAAAAAGCAGCCCAAACUAAUGAGCAGCCUGUGUCCUUAGCCUCCCUGUUUUUUGAAGGUUUUAUUUUUUGUGUGAGGGUGUGCUCAUGAGUUAAGUUACCCAAGGAGGCUAGAAGAGAAUCCCUCUGGAGCUGGAGUUCCAGGUGCCUGUGAACCAGCAUAUGGGUGCUAGGACAGGUACUUGGAUCCUCUGUAAGACCAGCAGAUGCUUUUUGUUUUGUUGUUUAUUGUUUAUGUUUGUUUGUUUGUUUUGGCACGGUUUCUCUGUGUAGCCCUGGCUGUCCUGUACUUGCUUUGUAGACCAGGUGCAGAGCUUCACCUGCCUCUGCCUCCCUGCAUGCUAGGAUUACAGGCGUGCAGCACCAUGCCCGGCUGCAGCAAGUGCUCCUAACUGGUGACCCAUCAUCACCCAGCUCCCUGAGCCAGUCCUGACAUGUUGACAUGUUCAGUCUCUGAAGAUGGUGACCCUUUGGUUUUUAUGAGCCAACUAAUGUGUGCACAGAUGAACUUUUCAUUCUUCAGCUUGAAGCAUCUAGACUGGAACCUGGCCAUUGUGCCCUUCCGCUUACACUAGGCUCGGCUCCGUGGGUCCCAGAGACAAUGACAUGGAAAGGCUCCAGCUUGCUUGUGUGUUCUUCUGUCCUUGUUUAUAAAUAGCUUUUAGACAUGUAGAUUAUUCCUUUGAAACCCAUGGUAACAAUGUGAGGAUGUCUGCGUUUUGAUUUGAAUAGCCAAGGAAUUCUUAAGUCCAAAAUCUAAAAAAUUACUCAUAAUUUUCUUGUUGCUUGAUAAAGGAUUAGAUCUUAAAAGUAUAUAUUACAUUUAUUUGUAUUGUUGGUGGGGUCAUGUGCUGCUGCACAUGUCUGGAGAUCAGAGGACAACUUUCAGGAGUCAGCCCUCCUGUCUUGUGGGACCUAGGGAUUGAAGUCAGGUCAUUGGCACCUUUACCCAAUGAGCCAUCUGGCUAGCCUGGGUGACUUUAAAAAAAUGCUUUAAUGAUUGAAUUAACAAGUUACUUUGUUAUGAGUUGGUCCUGGAGAAAAAGCAGUACUAAUCAAAAAUAGUUAUUACAGGUCACUUAAAAAGAGUAACAACCUAGCCAUGGUGCCUCACACCUGUAAUAGCAGCAGAACCCUGGAAGCAAAUCACUGUGUUUUUGAGGCAGCCUGGUCUAUUGGGUAACAUUGUUUCAAUAAAUCAGGCAUGGUAGCCUGUGCCUGUAGGUCCAGCAUGGAAGAAGGAGGACCAGAGUUCAAGGUCAUCCUCCACUGCAUAGCAAGUUGGAGGCCAGAUGGGGCUCCUUAAGACCCUAUAUUAAAAAUUAAGUUAGAGCCAGGCAGUGUUGGCACAUGCCUUUAACUCCAUCACUCAGCAAGCAGGCUGAUCUCUGUGAAUUUGAGGCUAGCCUGGUCUAAAAGUGGGUUCCAGGACAGCCAGGUCUGUUACACCGAGAAACGCCAAAAAUAAAAGAAUGAAUGAAUAAAUAAAUAUAUGUCAGUUAA